rnacentral:rRNA from 1 species
UACGUAGGGUGCAAGCGUUGUCCGGAAUUAUUGGGCGUAAAGAGCUCGUAGGCGGUCUGUCGCGUCUGCUGUGAAAACUCAGGGCUCAACCCUGGGAUGCCGGUGGAUACUGUCGGGCUAGAGUCCGGAAGAGGAGUGUGGAAUUCCUGGUGUAGCGGUGAAAUGCGCAGAUAUCAGGAGGAACACCAAUGGCGAAGGCAGCACUCUGGGACGUGACUGACGCUGAGACGCGAAAGCGUGGGGAGCAAACAGG